rnacentral:rRNA from 1 species
GUAAAUGUCGUAACAAGGUUUCUGUUGGUGAACCAGCGGAGGGAUCAUUG